UCCAUUGAAACAUCCUCUCAAUUUUACUUACUCGAGUCCGACAUCAAUUCCUCGAGAGUCCGGCGUUCCCAUACCUGCACUCCAUUUCAUUCUCAAUAGUAACAUGGUUAGGGAUACGUAAUCUCAAACAUAUUGAAAACCCACAUCUUCACAUAUACAUAUACCAGUGAUCCACAAUUAUUAGAUUACAACACGUGUAUACACUUUCAUAUAUCUAAGUACAUUCAUACGUAUCCCAUUCAUAUGUGCGUACAUACAAGUUCACAGUACUUACACACGCUACAGUUCCAUAUCUACAUACAUACAUACAACUAUACAAGUCAUAUUCACUUAUUCGUAAAUGGAGCCUUACCUACAAACAUAUCAACACAAAUCAAUGCAAUAGCAAAUAAACAUAACCGACUAACUUCCAACAAACAUGAUGAACAUUCCAUUAACAUGAUUAACAUUUCAGUAAGAUGAUGAGUGACGGGUGGUCCAUAGGACAACCCUUAAAAGGUUUAAUAAUACACACAUUCCAUGCUUAUUACGAUUAAUUGUUAGAACUUGUGAUCUACAUGAUAAUGGGUUUUGUAGGUGCUAAAGAGCAUAAGGAUUGGCUUUUGUGAAGUUUGGAUGGAAGUUGCAAGAUGGAAGAAAAAAAGUGGAGAAAUCAACAUUCAACAAAGAAAAUAAAAGAAGCAACUUCAGGCAACACCGUAGCCUACGGCUCUGGCCGUAGGUUACGGCACUCAAACAUGUGCCAAUAUCUUCGCCGUAGUCCAGUCUAUCGAUGUCUUACACACACUUUGGAGACGAAAUUUGGCUGUUCUUGGAGCUUGAAGACAAUAGUAAUCUUUAGUUUGAUGUUUUUAACUUGUUUGAAGAUCAAGACUUUGUUUAUGAUGUUUGUUCGAGCCAUGAGUGGCUAAACUUGUUAUGACUAUCUUUAGUUGAAGGUUUGUAAGACUUUAUGCUUUGAUUUCCUUAUUUCUAGAAUAGCAAACUUUAUCUUUA